AUACGGAGGGUGCAAGCGUUACUCGGAAUCACUGGGCGUAAAGCGCGCGCAGGCGGUCUUUUAAGUUGGAUGUGAAAGCCUACGGCUCAACCGUAGAACUGCAUCCAAAACUAUUAGACUAGAGUGUGGGAGAGGAAGAUGGAAUUAGUUGUGUAGGGGUAAAAUCCGUAGAGAUAACUAGGAAUACCAAAAGCGAAGGCAAUCUUCUGGAACACUACUGACGCUGUGGCGCGAAAGCGUGGGGAGCAAACAGGAUUAGAAACCCCGGUAGUCC
rnacentral:rRNA from 1 species